rnacentral:rRNA from 1 species
UGGGGAAUCUUGGACAAUGGGCGCAAGCCUGAUCCAGCCAUGCCGCGUGAGUGAAGAAGGCCUUAGGGUUGUAAAGCUCUUUUGCCAGGGACGAUAAUGACGGUACCUGGAGAAUAAGCCCCGGCAAACUUCGUGCCGGCAGCCGCGGUAAUACGAAGGGGGCUAGCGUUGUUCGGAUUUACUGGGCGUAAAGCGCACGUAGGCGGGUCGUUAAGUCAGGGGUGAAAUCCCGGAGCUCAACUCCGGAACUGCCUUUGAUACUGGCGACCUUGAGGCUGGAAGAGGUUAGUGGAAUUCCCAGUGUAGAGGUGAAAUUCGUAGAUAUUGGGAAGAACACCAGUGGCGAAGGCGGCUAACUGGUCCAGAUCUGACGCUGAGGUGCGAAAGCGUGGGGAGCAAACA